rnacentral:rRNA from 1 species
GACGAACGCUGGCGGCGUGCUUAACACAUGCAAGUCGAACGGAAAGGCCCUGCUUUUGUGGGGUGCUCGAGUGGCGAACGGGUGAGUAACACGUGAGUAACCUGCCCUUGACUUUGGGAUAACUUCAGGAAACUGGGGCUAAUACCGGAUAGGAGCUCCUGCUGCAUGGUGGGGGUUGGAAAGUUUCGGCGGUUGGGGAUGGACUCGCGGCUUAUCGGCUUGUUGGUGGGGUAGUGGCUUACCAAGGCUUUGACGGGUAGCCGGCCUGAGAGGGUGACCGGCCACAUUGGGACUGAGAUACGGCCCAGACUCCUACGGGAGGCAGCAGUGGGGAAUAUUGCACAAUGGGCGGAAGCCUGAUGCAGCAACGCCGCGUGCGGGAUGACGGCCUUCGGGCUGUAAACCGCUUUCGCCUGUGACGAAGCGUGAGUGACGGUAAUGGGUAAAGAAGCACCGGCUAACUACGUG